GUAGGUGGCGGUAAUGCACCUUUAAGUUGGUUUGCCAAAACUGCCAAAAAACAUCAGAAGGAGAAGAAGAAGGAGGAGGAGGAGGAGGCUUGGCUAAGCGAGACCAUCUAAAGAAAGGAGCAAAUCACGUCGAAUCAAGCAGGAAUAUCUGGAGGAGUAUCAUCUGAACUGAGAUCUGUUGCUGUGAAGAUGGAGUUUGUUAAAGAAGAGAGUGAAGAGAACACGAGUGAACCAGAAACAUGGAGAAUAAAACACGAGGAACCAGAAACCCGGAGAAUAAAACAAGAGGGACCAGAAACAUGGAGAAUAAAACACGAGGAACCUGAAACCCGGAUAAUAAAACACGAGGAACCAGAAACUCGGAUAAUAAAACACGAGGAGCCAGAAACCUGCAUAUCUCACGAACAAGGAGCCCAUCAUGCAUCUAACCAUCCACUCGGCGUUAAGAGCUGUUCAGAUUAAAACUGGCAGCUCCGCAGUGAGUCAGUGUCAUGGACGGAAGACAGAUGUAGCGGGUAUUACCUCAAUUACUAACGGACCAGGAAUAUUAAAUCAGAAGACUGUGCGGUAUGUAAAAUGAGGUGGUGGUGAUACUGAGUAACAGGCAGAGACAGAAGGUAAGUUGAACCAAUACACUUUUCUUUGAGUACAGUGAUUUUUUCCUUUAGUGUUUUUUUUUCUCAAUCACAUAAACAUAGUACAAUAUAAAAAACUAAACAAAAUGAAAUGAAAACAAAUAACUAUACCCUGGGUGCACCCUCUGAAUAAGUUUUCAUAUACUAGUAAUCACAAUCAAUGUAUUCAAUGGAACACAAAUUGGAGAAAACAAUCAGCAGUGGUUUUACAUUUAACCCACUUAAUGCAGUAUUUCAAGAUCAAAUGGAAUAUCAAUUGGAAAAUUGAUCAGUCUUAAACUUUUUCAAUUGUGCUCUUGAGAUGUUUCAGUCCCCCCCCAAAAAAACUGUAAUAUAGGCCUAUAUCAGUCUCUGUAAAUUAGUUCUCUUACUUAUCUCAGGAAGAAAUAAUAGAACUGAAAAUGGUCCUUUCCUCUAAGUUCGUGAUCUUUUCAGAAUCGAAGUGGGAGGCUCGCCAUCAAUUAAGGGAAUCCAUCUUGAACAACAUUCACACAAAAAAAACCCUGGCCUGAUCACAGACCAGAAUAUGCAUUCAAUAUUGUGUUACAAUUAAAUACAUAACACAGAAAGCAAAUACAAUACAUACAUGAAUACCAUCAUCAUAGUAAAUGACAUUAUAUUCAAUUACCUGUUCAUUCACGUCUUUCUCUUUUUUUUUUUCCACAGGCACGCGCACUAAAAAUGGCGUCAGUGAUGAACACUUAAUACACCAUGCGGUCUGAGACAACCACACUGCAAAUAAACAAUCCAACCCAUAAAACA
ensembl:lncRNA